AGUCAGAUAUUCAAAACAAGUAUUUCUAACCACUCAAGUAAACUGAAAGAAAAUGCUGCUUCUGAAAACACAGAUGUCUUAGCACUGUUAAUUAAAUACACAGAUCACGCGGCCUAGAAAAUGUAUGACUUCUUACAUUCACUGGAUCAUUGUCAAAUUAACUAAGUUGAUGGACUACUAGCAAUUCUAAUUUACACUAUUUCAUGAACCACCAAGUUAAACAAUGUACCUAAUACAAGAGGUGACCUCAAAGCAUGCAUUACAAAAUAUCUUUUAAAGAAGCCAUUUGCUAGUGUCAAAAAUCAAAGUUAGGAUAAAAAGCAGACACUCUGCUCAUAUUGAGAAUUCUGUAACUUGCCAGAGCUAGCAAAGUGGAUCAGACAGGUGCUUUCAAAUCACUGUGUUACCCAGAACUAGUCCAGGAAAUAUGGAUGCUGACUAUUUAAUUUUGGAAUUAAAUAGAGGUAAUAAAUAACAAUUUUUUUUUCUCUGAAAACUGUUGGGUUGUUGCGCAAACUAACAGCAUGGGAUUAAUUUUAACGUUAGAUCUUGAAUUGAUCUACUAGCUCACCAUGACCAAAAGGGGGGGAUCUUGUUUCUCUUCCUUCAGACUAUAGACACUGUUCUUUCUCCUACUUUCACAUUCUGGCUCUCCCAUACAUCGUGCCCUGAAUUGAGUCAAUUAAACUUGCUGAACUAGAAGAAAACAAACCUAAGAAAGAAAGGAAAAUGAAUAGUUUGUCUGUGGUUUAAAUACUUGAAUCAAUUUAUCACGCUAUCAGUUAAUUGCUAGAGCUGGUGUGAGGGAAAAGGUGGGGUCAUGCAGCUGGGCAGAUCUGAAGAAUAAUUUACCUGUUCUCACAAAAACAAGCCAUUAGACCACAUCAGUCAUGAAGUGCAACUUUGUCCUCAAGCUGUGCUUCCAAAUUGUUCAUAUCAGGGUCAUCUAUGCAGUGUUGCUUCCUCCUAUGCCCCAGUUCUGGUGCUUGUUCAACCAGUGUACUGCCAGGAAUAAAAGACAACAAUUUUUUCAUUGUCACUGACAUACAUUACAGACUUUGAGUGCUUAAAAAAAGAAAAAAAAGGUCAAACAAACCAUGCUGAAACUGAUCUAGUAAAGUAGCAGAGAUGUUUAAUCAAGGCACAGGAAGAAGUCAGGCUAGUUGACAGAAAUCAUAGUGGUUUAGUUUGCCACUGAAUUGCAGUCUCCCUCAGAAUUAGAAAUAGCUUUUUCCCCCUCAUAAGUAACAAAAAAUAAAUCCACACAGUAUUGUCACUUUUCAUUGCAUUUCUUUCUUCAUUUAUGAACAAAAAAGCAGAAAAGAGACACUGGAAGGUAGAACUGGGCCAUCAUUUGGUAGAAGGACAACUAUAAGCUACCAGAGAUCAACAGGGAUGCACGUGUUUUCUCUCUUAACUCAGCUGCAGAGGAGCUGUUUGGGCUUCAGUCUCAGAGAGCGAUACAAAGUACCUUUAUUUGGAGGAAAUACUAGAUAAUAGAGAAUUACCUCAUGCCUCAGGAAUAGCCUAACAAGAACCAAUAAUGAGAAGCUGAAAAAAGAGAAAUGCAAGGAGCUCAAGAUUCCACUGCAAAGGGAUAGAAGUCUGUUACGGUUCAACUAAUGAUAGAAAAAUAGACCACUGUGUAAACCUGCACUGGAUGAAUCUUUUGGGACAGAUGAGCCAUUACCCAGUACUACUAAUGGGAAUCCCUCAAAGCAAAACUAAAAAUUGUCUGUCUGUAUAGCUACAGAAGUACCAGGAGAACCUUAGGUUCAGAUGCGUGAGAGACAGUAAAAGAAGAGCUGAACAAACCUAUUUGGACAUCUGUAGAAAAACCUUGGCCUCCACAGAUCUGCUAGAGAUAUAUAACUUUUACUUCGAUUGAGCCAUAACCUUUUCCUGUUGUCUAUCCAUUUCCAUCUGUCUUUAAUACAUAACUACUUUCUUUCACAUACACUGUAUAUAUAAAGUGAUCAAAUUUACACAUUUAUAAAGCCAGUUUUUGUCUUGUCAAAAACGCAAGUUACCACAUUACUCUCUCAUUAAGUGAGGAAAAUAUUUAAAUGGGAUUAUUAUUUUCUGUAAUUCCUCAGCAAGCCAAGACUAAAUCUUGAAAACCUAAAUAAGGUAAAUUUUAUACCUCAUGCCACUGUAGUGCCACUGAUACAAUAUAAAGUAACUUCUAGUUAAUCUAAUAGUUACCUGAUUAAAUAUAAGAGCCAGUCAUUUUCACUUUUCUUUAUGUUGUCCUUUUCUCUCUUUCUACUUGUACACUCUUUACUAUGAUUUUUUCAUAGUAAAGGCUAUUUAAGUCGUAGAGUCAUAGAACAGUUUGAGCUGGAAGGGACCUUUUAAAGGCCAUCUAGUCCACAACCCCUGCAAUGAGCAGCAACAUCUUCAUUCAGAUCAGGUUGCUCAGAGCCCUUUCCAAUUUGACUUUGAAUAUUUCCAGGAGUGGGGCAUCUACCACCUCUCUGGGCAACCUGUGCCAGUGUUUUAACACCUUCAUUGUAAAAUACUUAUUUCUUAUACCUAGCCUAAAAUGACCCUCCUUCAGUUUAAAACCAUCACCCUUUGUCCUAUCACAACAGACCCUGCUACAAAGUUUGUCCCCAUCUUUCUUGUAGGCCUCCCUUCAAUUACUGAAUCACAGAAUCAACUGGGUUGGAAAAGAUCCCUGAGAUCAUCGAGUCCAGCCUUUGAUCUAACACCACCUUGUCUACUAGACCAUGGCACUAAGUGCCACAACCACUCUCAAAUACCUCCAGGGACAGUGAUUCCACCACCUCUCUGGGCACCCCAUUCCAAUGCCCAAUCACUCUUUCUGUAAAGAACUUCUUCCUAAUGGCUAAACUAAACCUCCUCUGGUGCAGCUUAAGACUGUGCCCUCUAGUCCUACUGCUUGUUGCCUGGGAGAAGAGACCUGGCUACAACCUCCUUUCAGGGAGUUGUAGAGAGUGAUGAGGUCUCCCCUGAGCCUCCUCUUCUCCAGGCUGAACAACCCCAGCUCUCUCAUAGGACCUGUGCUUGAGUCCCUUCACCAGCCUUGCUGGCCUUCUUCUGACAUGGUCCAGCAUCUCCAUAUCCUUCCUAAAUUGAGGGGCCCAGAACUGGACACAGUACUUGAGGUGUGGCCUCACCAGUGCCCAGUACAGGAGAAGAAUUGCUUCCCUAGUCCUGCUGGCUACACUAUUGCUGAUCCAGGUCAGGAUGCCAUUGGCCUUCUUGGCCACCUGGGCAUACUGCUGGUUCAUGUUCAGCUUCCUGUCAAUCAGAACCUCCAGGUCCCUUUCUGCCUGGCUGCUCUGUCCCCAGCCUUUAGUGCUCUAUGGGGUUGUUGUGGCCGAAGUGCAGGAUCUGGUGCUUGGCCUUCUUGGACCUCAUACCUUGGAUUUGACUCAUCUAUCCAUCCCGUGCAGGUCCCUCUGCAGAGCCCUCCUGCCUUCCAGCAGAUUGACACUCCCUCUCAACUUGGUGUCAUCUGCAAAUUUGCUAAUGGUACACUCAAUCCUCUCAUCCAGACAAUCAGUGAAGAUAUUAAACAGAACUGGGCCCAACACUGAUCCCCGGGGAC